rnacentral:rRNA from 1 species
AGAGUUUGAUCAUGGCUCAGAACGAACGCUGGCGGCAGGCUUAACACAUGCAAGUCGAACGCCCCGCAAGGGGAGUGGCAGACGGGUGAGUAACGCGUGGGAAUCUACCCAGAUCUACGGAACAACAGUUGGAAACGACUGCUAAUACCGUAUACGCCCUACGGGGGAAAGAUUUAUCGGAUUUGGAUGAGCCCGCGUAAGAUUAGCUAGUUGGUGAGGUAAAGGCUCACCAAGGCGACGAUCUUUAGCUGGUCUGAGAGGAUGAUCAGCCACACUGGGACUGAGACACGGCCCAGACUCCUACGGGAGGCAGCAGUGGGGAAUAUUGGACAAUGGGCGCAAGCCUGAUCCAGCCAUGCCGCGUGAGUGAUGAAGGCCUUAGGGUUGUAAAGCUCUUUCAGUGGGGAAGAUAAUGACGGUACCCACAGAAGAAGCCCCGGCUAACUUCGUGCCAGCAGCCGCGGUAAUAC